rnacentral:rRNA from 1 species
CUUAAGUGGGGAAUAACGCAUCGAAAGGUGUGCUAAUACCGCAUAAUCUCUGAGGAGAAAAGCAGGGGAUCGCAAGACCUUGCGCUUUUGGAGCGGCCGAUGUCUGAUUAGCUUGUUGGUAAGGUAAAAGCUUACCAAGGCUUCGAUCAGUAGCUGGUCUGAGAGGACGACCAGCCACACUGGGACUGAGACACGGCCCAGACUCCUACGGGAGGCAGCAGUGGGGAAUUUUGGACAAUGGGGGCAACCCUGAUCCAGCCAUGCCGCGUGAGUGAAGAAGGCCUUCGGGUUGUAAAGCUCUUUCAGCCGGAACGAAACGGUUACGGUUAAUACCCGUGACUACUGACGGUACCGGAAGAAGAAGCACCGGCUAACUACGUGCCAGCAGCCGCGGUAAUACGUAGGGUGCGAGCGUUAAUCGGAAUUACUGGGCGUAAAGCGUGCGCAGGUGGUUUUGUAAGUCAGAUGUGAAAUCCCCGGGCUCAACCUGGGAACUGCGUUUGAAACUACAAGGCUAGAGUGUGGCAGAGGGGGGUGGAAUUCCGCGUGUAGCAGUGAAAUGCGUAGAGAUGUGGAGGAACACCGAUGGCGAAGGCAGCCCCCUGGGUCAACACUGACGCUCAGGCACGAAGGCAUGGGGAGCAAACAGGAUUAGAUACCCUGGUAGUCCAUGCCCUAAACGAUGUCAACUAGUUGUCGGGCCUUAACGGGCUUGGUAACGUAGCUAACGCGUGAAGUUGACCGCCUGGGGAGUACGAUCGCAAGAUUAAAACUCAAAGGAAUUGACGGGGACCCGCACAAGCGGUGGAUUAUGUGGAUUAAUUCGAUGCAACGCGAAAAACCUUACCUACCCUUGACAUGUAUCGAAGCCCGCAGAAAAGCGGGGGUGCCCGAAAGGGAACGAUAACACAGGUGCUGCAUGGCUGUCGUCAGCUCGUGUCGUGAGAUGUUGGGUUAAGUCCCGCAACGAGCGCAACCCUUGUCAUUAAUUGCCAUCUUUUAGUUGGGCACUUUAAUGAGACUGCCGGUGACAAACCGGAGGAAGGUGGGGAUGACGUCAAGUCCUCAUGGCCCUUAUGGGUAGGGCUUCACACGUAA